rnacentral:rRNA from 1 species
AUUGAACGCUGGCGGCAUGCUUUACACAUGCAAGUCGAACGGCAGCGCGGGCUUCUUCCUUUCGGCGAGUGGCGAACGGGUGAGUAAUGCAUCGGAACGUGCCCAGUAGUGGGGGAUAGGCCGGCGAAAGCCGGAUUAAUACCGCAUACGACCUGAGGGUGAAAGCGGGGGUCCGAAAGGCCUCGCGCUAUUUGAGCGGCCGAUGUCGGGUUGGCUAGUUGGUGGGGUAGAGGCUUACCAAGGCGACGAUCCGUAGCUGGUCUGAGAGGACGACCAGCCACACUGGGACUGAGACACGGCCCAGCCUCCUACGGGAGGAAGCAGUGGGGAAUUUUGGCCAAUGGGGGCAACCCUGCUCCAGCCAUGCCGCGUGCGGGAAGAAGGCUUUCGGGUUGUAAACCGCUUUUGUUCGGGAAGAAAUCCUCUGGGCUAAUACCCCGGGGGGAUGACGGUACCGGACGAAUAAGCACCGGCUAACUACGUG